GUGGGGAAUAUUGGACAAUGGGGGGAACCCUGAUCCAGUCAUGCCGCGUGUGUGAAGAAGGCCUUUUGGUUGUAAAGCACUUUAAGCGAGGAGGAGGCUACCGAGAUUAAUACUCUUGGAUAGUGGACGUUACUCGCAGAAUAAGCACCGGCUAACUCUGUGCCAGCAGCCGCGGUAAUACAGAGGGUGCAAGCGUUAAUCGGAUUUACUGGGCGUAAAGCGCGCGUAGGUGGCCAAUUAAGUCAAAUGUGAAAUCCCCGAGCUUAACUUGGGAAUUGCAUUCGAUACUGGUUGGCUAGAGUAUGGGAGAGGAUGGUAGAAUUCCAGGUGUAGCGGUGAAAUGCGUAGAGAUCUGGAGGAAUACCGAUGGCGAAGGCAGCCAUCUGGCCUAAUACUGACACUGAGGUGCGAAAGCAUGGGGAGCAAACAGGAUUAGAUACCCUUGUAGUCC
rnacentral:rRNA from 1 species